UACGUAGGGUGCAAGCGUUAAUCGGAAUUACUGGGCGUAAAGCGUGCGCAGGCGGUUGUGCAAGACCGAUGUGAAAUCCCCGGGCUUAACCUGGGAAUGGCAUUGGUGACUGCACGGCUAGAGUGUGUCAGAGGGGGGUAGAAUUCCACGUGUAGCAGUGAAAUGCGUAGAGAUGUGGAGGAAUACCGAUGGCGAAGGCAGCCCCCUGGGCCAACACUGACGCUCAUGCACGAAAGCGUGGGGAGCAAACAGG
rnacentral:rRNA from 1 species